AGAGUUUGAUCAUGGCUCAGAUUGAACGCUGGCGGCAGGCCUAACACAUGCAAGUCGAACGGUAACAGGAAACAGCUUGCUGUUUCGCUGACGAGUGGCGGACGGGUGAGUAAUGUCUGGGAAACUGCCUGAUGGAGGGGGAUAACUACUGGAAACGGUAGCUAAUACCGCAUAACGUCGCAAGACCAAAGAGGGGGACCUUCGGGCCUCUUGCCAUCAGAUGUGCCCAGAUGGGAUUAGCUAGUAGGUGGGGUAACGGCUCACCUAGGCGACGAUCCCUAGCUGGUCUGAGAGGAUGACCAGCCACACUGGAACUGAGACACGGUCCAGACUCCUACGGGAGGCAGCAGUGGGGAAUAUUGCACAAUGGGCGCAAGCCUGAUGCAGCCAUGCCGCGUGUAUGAAGAAGGCCUUCGGGUUGUAAAGUACUUUCAGCGGGGAGGAAGGGAGUAAAGUUAAUACCUUUGCUCAUUGACGUUACCCGCAGAAGAAGCACCGGCUAACUCCGUGCCAGCAGCCGCGGUUAUACGGAGGGUGCAAGCGUUAAUCGGAAUUACUGGGCGUAAAGCGCACGCAGGCGGUUUGUUAAGUCAGAUGUGAAAUCCCCGGGCUCAACCUGGGAACUGUAUCUGAUACUGGCAAGCUUGAGUCUCGUAGAGGGGGGUAGAAUUCCCGGUGUAGCGGUGAAAUGCGUAGAGAUCUGGAGGAAUACCGGUGGCGAAGGCGGCCCCCUGGACGAAGACUGACGCUCAGGUGCGAAAGCGUGGGGAGCAAACAGGAUUAGAUACCCUGGUAGUCCACGCCGUAAACGAUGUCGACUUGGAGGUUGUGCCCUUGAGGCGUGGCUUCCGGAGCUAACGCGUUAAGUCGACCGCCUGGGGAGUACGGCCGCAAGGUUAAAACUCAAAUGAAUUGACGGGGGCCCGCACAAGCGGUGGAGCAUGUGGUUUAAUUCGAUGCAACGCGAAGAACCUUACCUGGUCUUGACAUCCACGGAAGUUUUCAGAGAUGAGAAUGUGCCUUCGGGAACCGUGAGACAGGUGCUGCAUGGCUGUCGUCAGCUCGUGUUGUGAAAUGUUGGGUUAAGUCCCGCAACGAGCGCAACCCUUAUCCUUUGUUGCCAGCGGUCCGGCCGGGAACUCAAAGGAGACUGCCAGUGAUAAACUGGAGGAAGGUGGGGAUGACGUCAAGUCAUCAUGGCCCUUACGACCAGGGCUACACACGUGCUACAAUGGCGCAUACAAAGAGAAGCGACCUCGCGAGAGCAAGCGGACCUCAUAAAGUGCGUCGUAGUCCGGAUUGGAGUCUGCAACUCGACUCCAUGAAGUCGGAAUCGCUAGUAAUCGUGGAUCAGAAUGCCACGGUGAAUACGUUCCCGGGCCUUGUAUACACCGCCCGUCACACCAUGGGAGUGGGUUGCAAAAGAAGUAGGUAGCUUAACCUUCGGGAGGGCGCUUACCACUUUGUGAUUCAUGACUGGGGUGAAGUCGAAACAAGGUAACCGUAGGGGAACCUGCGGUUG
rnacentral:rRNA from 1 species